GUGUUUGCUUCAGCAGCACAUAUAAUAAAUCUGAAAUGAUACAAACAUAGCAUAGUCCUAGCAUAAGGAUGACUAGCAAAUUCAUGAAGCAUUUCAUAUUUUA
ensembl:snRNA U6 U6 spliceosomal RNA